CACCAGCAACGGCACGGAGGAUGUUAGCACCAGCACCCUUGAACAGAGAUUUGGCACCCUCAUUCUUAAGGAUCUGGGAGAAGGCGUCAAAUGAGCUCUUGUACUUCACAGCCUCACCAGAUGUCAUCAUCAUUCUUCUUCUAACAGUGUCAAUUGGGUAGGAUGCAAGACCAGCACCAUUGGUAAUAAGCCACCCAAGAGCAAAGCUAGCAAAGAAACUAUCCUGUAAACAUCAAGAGAUUAACCAAGGUCAAUAAUAACUUUAGGUCAAUAAUAACUCCUAAUAAAAUGAAGUCAUAAACCCACCAUAAUACCUUAAACUCCAAACUACCAAAGUAACUGGCAACAAAAUUUAAGUAAUGUAAGAAAAUAACUUUCAACAUAUGACAUCAUCAGAGACAAUACCAAAGGAGCACAUCACUAACCUGCAUGUUUCCAGUCAAGAGCACUGGCUUCAAGGAGUCGUACAUUCCGAAGUACAAACCACGGUACACAAUGAUACCAACACAUGAAAUGUUGAACCCACGGUACAAUCCAGCAAUUCCAUCAGAUGCAAGUGUCUUCUUGUAGACAUCGACCAAACCGUUGAACUGUCUCCCACCUCCUUUCUUUGCAGCCUUGGCAUCAUUUGCAAGACGAGUACGAGCAUAGUCAAGGGAGUAAACAAAGAGCAAAGAAGAUGAUGCAAGUGUCUUCUUGUAGACAUCGAUCAAACCAUUAAACUGUCUCCCACCUCCCUUCUUUGCAGCCUUGGCAUCAUUUGCAAGACGAGUACGAGCAUAGUCAAGGGAGUAAACAAAGAGCAAAGAAGAAGCACCAGCAGCACCACCAGAUGCAAGGUUGCCUGCAAACCACUUCCAGUAACCAUCACGGUCCUUCUUGAAGUUGAAGAGCCUCUUGAAGUAGUCCUUAAAUGCAAAGUUCAAGGCCUG
rnacentral:lncRNA from 1 species